rnacentral:rRNA from 1 species
GGAACCUUACCUGGGCUCGACGUAAGAUGACUGUAGGUGAAAGACUUACAUCUCUUCGGAGCAUUUUACGAGGUGCUGCAUGGUUGUCGUCAGCUCGUGCCGUGAGGUGUCGGGUUAAGUCCCAUAACGAGCGCAACCCCUACCUUUAGUUGCCAUCAGGUUAAGCUGGGGACUCUAAAGGAACUGCCUACGCAAGUAGUGAGGAAGGCGGGGAUGACGUCAAAUCAGCACGGCCCUUACGUCCAGGGCUACACACGUGCUACAAUGGCCGAUACAGAGGGCAGCUACCUGGUGACAGGAUGCAAAUCUCCAAAGUCGGUCUCAGUUCGGAUCGGAGUCUGCAACCCGACUCCGUGAAGUUGGAUUCGCUAGUAAUCGCGCAUCAGCCAUGGCGCGGUGAAUACGUUCCCGGGCCUU